rnacentral:rRNA from 1 species
UACGUAGGGUCCAAGCGUUGUCCGGAAUCACUGGGCGUAAAGCGUGCGUAGGUGGGUGCUUAAGUGAGUUGUUAAAUCGUGUGGCUCAACCAUAUCGAUGCAAUUCAUACUGGGUACCUAGAGGACAGCAGAGGCAAGUGGAAUUAGCAGUGUAGCAGUGAAAUGCGUAGAUAUUGCUAGGAACACCAAUGGCGAAGGCAGCUUGCUGGGCUGCUCCUGACACUGAGGUACGAAAGCGUGGGGAGCGAACAGG